rnacentral:rRNA from 1 species
GACAGAGGGUGCGAACGUUGCUCGGAAUCAUUGGGCGUAAAGCGCGUGUAGGCGGCAUGGCACGUCGGGUGUGAAAGCCCGGGGCUCAACCCCGGCAGUGCACCCGAAACGACGAUGCUAGAGUGCUAGAGAGGCGGGUGGAAUUCCUGGUGUAGAGGUGAAAUUCGUAGAUAUCAGGAGGAACACCGGUGGCGAAGGCGGCCCGCUGGCUGGCGACUGACGCUGAGACGCGAAAGCGUGGGGAGCAAACAGG